CGGACGGGUGAGCAACGCGUGGAAAACCUGCCGUAUACUGGGGGAUAACACUUAGAAAUAGGUGCUAAUACCGCAUAAGCGCACAGCUUCGCAUGAAGCGGUGUGAAAAACUCUGGUGGUAUACGAUGGUUCCGCGUCUGAUUAGCUAGUUGGUGGGGUAAUGGCCUACCAAGGCAACGAUCAGUAGCCGGCCUGAGAGGGUGAACGGCCACAUUGGGACUGAGACACGGCCCAAACUCCUACGGGAGGCAGCAG
rnacentral:rRNA from 1 species